rfam:TPA: Bos taurus chromosome 13, whole genome shotgun sequence.
UCCCUGAAGGUCCAGUGGUUGAGACUCUGCACUUCCAGUGUGGAGGGCAUGGGUUCGAUCCCUGGUCGGGGAA